UACCAAAAUGCAUGUCAAUAUGCUAGUGUCACGGUUCAGUAGCAUGUUAGCUAGCACAACAGCUAAGGUAGCUAGCUAGCUAGCAACAAUAUGAGUUGAUUUGACAUCAAAGCAAAACUUCACUUUUGCAGAUGGAUGCCCUUCCCCUACCCGUGGUGUUGGAAGAGGCUGUAUUGGGAGGAGGAUGCAUCAACACCCUGGAAAUAUGUUUGUGGUGCACUUACUCAUAACACUUUUUGAGUGAUAAAUGAGUGUAUCAUCAUCAAGAUUGAUAAGAUAAGUAAAUGCAUGUAUUAGUCUAAAAAAUGUAGCGCAUACUGUACAUUCAUUCUUUGUAACAAUUAGAUAUUUAAUUGCUUUAAAUUAGUAGCUAGCUCAUCUUGAUCAUGUAUUGUUCCUUCUCUCUUUCUAGAAGCAAUCAGUUACAAGGCAAAAGUACAGAUUGAGGACCGAGAAAUGUGUGCACCAGACAGGUCAAGACUUCUUGCAUGCAUGGCUUUGAGAUUAAAUGUUGGAUUGUUUGGAUGACCCAAUUGCUGGGUUGCAGGCAGUGGGUCAAUAGUUGGGUUGUUUUCUGUAAAUACAGCAAGGUUGGGUUGUUGGUGCUGUGUUAUUAAGGUUGGGCUAUGGAUAUUUGACUCAGUCAGUAGGUUAAUUCUCCUGCCACCAGCGUGUGAAGUCCACCAGAAUACUUGCAAGUAUUCUAGUUCUACUGCGACCGAGUGACUGAAGAGUGGAAAAUGGCUAACAUUAUUUCGACAGACUAAUGGUGUUUUGGCCUACUGAAAACUGAAAACGAGAUUGACCAGGAAAAACUCUUGCUUUUGGACAACUCGACUAUAGCCUGAAGAUAAAGAAGAACAUAAAAGCCUUACAUGCAAGUCAAAUGUGAGAGGGCAGCCCAGAUGACCAAGUGGCUGAACAACAUCUGGCCAGCAAACCAGGUUGCGGAGUACAUGAAGGAGACCGCGAUCCAGAGGGCUUAGUGGACCAUACAGAAUGGGGCCAAGACAGUCGAGAUAGUCCGAGAGUAUCCGCGUCUGCUGGAUACUCCAGGCAUGAUUGCUCAGGACUUCUACAUUUUAAACCGAACUGCUCUGGGAAACACACUGAUAACUGGAUUGCGGUCUUCAAGGACAAAAAAACUUUGCUUCGCCAGCCCAGAGAGAAGCAGGCCCAAGAUCUUCUUUUCGAAGUGCAGUUAGUGUAGUGGAAAGCUGGAACUGAGACAGAACUGACCAGAACAGAGGCUCUUCAUCUGAGGGUCACAGCUCAUCGCCUGCUCUGUCACUUAGUCCUGGACACUGGGCACGUCUGUCAGUUCCAACAGCUGGAGGUG